CUACGAAGUAAAUAUAUUUAAUUGAUUUUACCUCAUUAUGCACUUUAAACACUAUAAAUUGAUAAUACCAGAUUUUAAUUGAUCAUGCAAGGAGAGAAAAAUAUGGCUAGUAAUCUAAAGUUUGUUCAUGCUAUACUUUUAUUUAUUUCCUUAUUUCUUAUUGCAAAGAAUGAUUCUGGUAAACAAUUUUUUCAUGCUUUUCAAAUUCCCUUUUAUUUUAUUUUAUUUUUACUUUAUAGUCCGUACACAAUCUUUUAUCUAUUUUUAAUGACAAUAUUUUAUUCUCUUUUUUUAUUACAGGAUUUGAGUAUAUGAAAUGCAAAUCUAAUAUUGAUUGUCCAGAAACCACUGUAAGCAUGUUUCCUUUUAGGUGGAAGUGCAUUGAAGAGAUUUGUGAAUUUGUAAGACCGAUGCCAAUGAAUGUAUGAGUACUAGCUAGGAAACAAGAAACUAUACACAAACAUCAUACGGUGAAGAAUGAAGCAUUAUUUUCUCUCAUGUUUCUCAUGCUGUCAUAAUUUUAAUCAUUUAUUUAACACUUUCUCUCUUCUUUUUUCUUUGUAGCUCAAUCAACCAUUAAAUUAGAAAAAGGAGAGAGUUGUACUUGUACAUAAAAAGUUGGAGAGGAUCCAAAUCCGACAAUAGACCUUUUGCUAUAAUAUUACACAGUUUUCAUUUCGUUAUUGUUCUUCAACGCAAUAAUUGUAUUUUUGUUUAUUAAUUUUUGUUUAGUAAUUUCGCA
rnacentral:lncRNA from 1 species